rnacentral:rRNA from 1 species
UACGGGGGGGGGCAAGCGUUGUUCGGAAUUACUGGGCGUAAAGGGCUCGUAGGCGGCCAACUAAGUCAGACGUGAAAUCCCUCGGCUUAACCGGGGCACUGCGUCUGAGACUGAAUGGCUUGAAUCGGAGAGGGAUGCGGAAUUCCAGGUGUAGCGGUGAAAUGCGUAGAUAUCUGGAGGAACACCGGUGGCGAAGGCGGCAUCCUGGACCGGCAUUGACGCUGAGGAGCGAAAGCCAGGGGGAGCAAACAGG